GCCGGAGUGGUGGAAUUGGUAGACACAAGGGACUUAAAAUCCCUCGGGCUUAGGUCCGUGCCGGUUCAAGUCCGGCCUCUGGUACCA
rnacentral:tRNA from 1 species